GACGAACGCUGGCGGCGUACUUAACACAUGCAAGUCGAGCGGUAAGGCCCUUUCGGGGGUACGACGAGCGGCGAACGGGUGAGUAACACGUGGGUGACCUGCCUCUAGCUCUGGGAUAAGCCUGGGAAGGCUGGGUCUAAUACCGGAUAUGACCUCGCGGUGCAUGUUGCGGGGUGGAAAGCCUUGUGCGGCUAGGGAUGGGCCCGCGGCCUAUCAGCUUGUUGGUGGGGUGAUGGCCUACCAAGGCGACGACGGGUAGCCGGCCUGAGAGGGCGACCGGCCACACUGGGACUGAGACACGGCCCAGACUCCUACGGGAGGCAGCAGUGGGGAAUCUUGCGCAAUGGGCGAAAGCCUGACGCAGCGACGCCGCGUGAGGGAUGACGGCCU
rnacentral:rRNA from 1 species